CACCCCCCCUCGCUUGGCAUUUCUGUUCCCCCGGAUAUCUGCCGGGCUCCUUCCUUCACGACUGCCCCGCCACCUUAUCAGAAAGGCCUUCCCCCGCCACCUUGUGCAAAAUGAAAUAGCGCCGGCUCUCCCGGGCCGCGCUCCCCCUUAUCGCGGAGCACCACCUGGCCUGCAACACGUUCAUUUGUUCUUUGCGUUCUGAGCCCCCCCCACCCACACACACCCCCACCCCCCUGCGCCCCAGCUGGGAUGCUGUGGGGUGGACGCUUUGUCUGUCUGCCCCGUCCUGCCCCACUGCCUGGCAGGUGAUGGUUGCUCUCAGCAAGCACUUGAGAAUGAACGGAGGCUGGGUGCUGUGCUAAGGGCCUGACACACGGGGCUCCAUUUCCCAGAUCGGAAAGGCGCCCGGAGAGGUCAAGUCAACAGAUCCACGUUCGUGCUUUCUAACGAAGACGGAGACAUGAUGAGCGAGUGAAGGAUGGAUUAUCGCAGCUCUAGAGCAGAAGCCCUUCUGUUCUUGCUAACGGAUGCACCCCCAGCACUGGGACAGUGUCCCGCACAUACUUCAUAGGCACUAAAGACGAAGUAAUCAACUCGCUUGCUACAGCAUUAAGUAAUUAAUCAAGUCUCUCAUGGAGGAAUGAAUAUACUUCGACGAAUUCCCAAAGGUCUUCAACAGCCAUCAGCUUUGGGGACUGUCUUAUUUCUAUUGACUUUGUGGUUCUUGGCAACUGACCAGUUAACUAAAACCUGGGGUCUGCCCUGGCCGGAUGCCCCCACCCACUUCCUUGACACCCCUCCUCCCUCAAAGAGGCUCAUUCGCCUUGACCAUCUCACCCGAUCUAACUUGCAUUUAUUACGAACUCCUCAAGGUCCAAAUGUGCGUGAUGCUUACCCAAGACAGGCCCAAGGACAUGGCGGGAGUGACCUUGCGUCACAGCUGGCUGUCACCUGACCAGAGGCAGAGGAGAUGAAAGGCUGUCUGAGACCCGUGACCCGUGAUCUCGCCCAAGGGGAGUCACUUCCGGUGGGGGGGGGUGGCCGGGGGCAGGUUUGUGGGGGUGACCUAAGGCGACCUAAGAAGCAGGAGAAAAAGCUUCAUCGCACUUGAGAGAAAGACCUUGCCAGGAUGAAGAAAGGCAGCAAAAACGCAGAAGAGAAAGAAAGAUGAAAAGGAGUAAAAUGUUUUCACCGUGGAUGCCGGAGGGAUCCCGUGAAAACCAAGUCAGAUGACGUUCGUGCUCCGCUCCACAGUCUCCCGUGACCGAAAGACGGAGAGUGAGUGUUGGCAAAGAGGCGGGGACGCUGGUGGCCUCAGACACUGCUGGGGGAGGGGGGUGUAACAUGGUUCGGCCCCCGGGGAAGCCAUCCCUCAGAAGGCUGGACACAGACUCACCUUAAGACCCGGCUGUUCCAGUCUGGGGCACACACAAGAGAAAUGAGAUCCGCGUCCACACAAACACCCGUGCCCCAAUGGCCCUUACAGCGCUGCCCGCAACAGCCCCAAGGUGGAGGUGGCCCCCGUGUCCCUCAGCUGACGAAUAGGUAAAUGAGAGGGGCGGUAUCACCCCACAGGACGUUAUUUGGCACGAAAAGGAAAACAGUGCUGCUACGGGCCGCAGUGCGGGUGAACUUUGAAAACACGAUGCCAAGUGAAAGAAGCGUGUUAACAAAACACCACAUAGUGUUGGGUUCCGUUCACAGGAAAUGUCCAGAAGGGGCAACUCCACCAGGCAGAAAGCAGAUUCGUGGUGGUCUGGGAUCAGGGCGGGGGGGGGGGGGGGGGGGGAUGAUGAUAUCUUUGGGAUGAUGACAAUGUCCUAAAAUUGACUGUGGUGGUGUUUGCACGACCCCGUGCAAUAGACUAAAAUCUGGUGGGUUGUGCCCAUCAAAUGAGUGCAUUGUAUGCUACAUGAGCUAGCUGUCAUUAAAAAAAAUCAAACAUU